CAAUAAGCGGAGGAAAAGAAACUAACAAGGAUUCCCCUANUAACUGCGACUGAAGCGGGAAAAGCUCAAAUUUAAAAUCUGGCACUCUUUGGCUGUCCGAGUUGUAAUCUAGAGAAGUAUUAUCCGCGCUGGACCGUGUACAAGUCUCCUGGAAUGGAGCGUCAUAGAGGGUGAGAAUCCCGUCUUUGACACGGACUGCCAGGGCUUUGUGAUAUGCUCUCAAAGAGUCGAGUUGUUUGGGAAUGCAGCUCAAAAUGGGUGGUAAAUUCCAUCUAAAGCUAAAUAUUGGCGAGAGACCGAUAGCGAACAAGUACCGUGAGGGAAAGAUGAAAAGAACUUUGGAAAGAGAGUUAAACAGUACGUGAAAUUGCUGAAAGGGAAACGCUUGAAGUCAGUCGCGUUGGCCAGGGAUCAACCUUGCUUUUGCUUGGCUUACUUUCUGGUCGAUGGGUCAGCAUCAAUUUUGACUGGUGGAAAAAGUUCAAGGGAAUGUGGCAUCUUCGGAUGUGUUAUAGCCUUUGUUCACAUACAUUGGUUGGGAUUGAGGAACUCAGCACGCCGCAAGGCCGGGUUUUUAACCACGUACGUGCUUAGGAUGCUGGCAUAAUGGCUUUAAUCGACCCGUCUUGAAACACGGACCAAGGAGUCUAACAUGCCUGCGAGUAUUUGGGUGAAAAACCCGAGUGCGUAAUGAAAGUGAAAGUUGAGAUCCCUGUCGUGGGGAGCAUUGACGCCCGGAUCUGACCUUUUGUGACGAUUCUGCGGUAGAGCAUGUAUGUUGGGACCCGAAAGAUGGUGAACUAUGCCUGAAUAGGGUGAAGCCAGAGGAAACUCUGGUGGAGGCUCGUAGCGAUUCUGACGUGCAAAUCGAUCGUCAAAUUUGGGUAUAGGGGCGAAAGACUAAUCGAACCAUCUAGUAGCUGGUUCCUGCCGAAGUUUCCCUCAGGAUAGCAGAAACUCAUUUCAGAUUUAUGU
rnacentral:rRNA from 1 species